CACUUCUGAAGCAGCCCAACAGGCUUACACAUUUCUCCCAAGCUAAUUCCUCAAGGAUGCGUAACGACGCCGUAAAACACACACACACACAUGCACACAAUCCACUGGACCCGGAUAUACUUUCACAACCCCGAAGAACACAUCUGCAGGCCCCCACCCUCUUAAGCUGCUUCCUGGUCCUCGCCCCCCGACCUCCCAUCCCACCAGACUCGGAGCCUGGCGGCUGGCUUUCCCCUGAGGGAGGAGAGGCAGCCGCCGCAGCAGCUGCCGACGACCCGGGAAGCUCCUCCUCUUGCCCUUCUCCGAGAAGCCCGGCCGCAGCGUAGGCUCCGGAGCGAGUGGGCAGCCGAUGACAGCAUCUGCCUCACAUUCUAAGCUGCAAUCAUUCUGUAGAGCACCGCACACUGAUGGGUUCGACGCCCAAUAGGUUUCAUAGAUUUCAAACUGGAAGGGACCCGAACUGUACUGUGCUAAAGAAGAUCAGAUGUCCCCAUUAAGUCUGGGACAGAAUGCCCUGGAAGAAGAGAACCAUCAACAGGACCGACCUAAGGAAUGUCAAAAUGGAGGAAGUCAGCCCCUGUCAUGAUCAGCCAUGGAAUUGAACCUAUUGAAUGACCAAUGCUCUUUCAGCCUGAACAAGACUAGGAGACCCAAUCUUAAAAGCACAAAGGUUAUUCAGAUAGCAAAUGCAAGAGCUGUCCUCUCUCUACAAUGCCACAAUGCCACGGGUAUCCAACUUUAUUAUCUUUUUUUUGUAUCAUACCUGCAAGCAGUGCUAGAGCAUCAGUUUAUAAUCAGUGCUCCAAGAAACUUAAUUCAAGAGACCUGGUGCUUCCCUCCUGGCCCCAGGAUGCCUUAACUUUCUCUGGUUUAUGCUUUAUUCAGGUCCUCUGAUUCAGCAACACCACUAUUAGGUCUGUAUCCCAAAGAGAUCGGAAAAAAGGGGAAAGGAUCUAUUUCCAUAAAAAUACUUAUAGCAGCUCUUUUUGUGGUGGAAAAGAAUUUGGAAAAUGAGAGGAUGUCCAUCACUUGGGGAAUGGCCGAACAAGUUGUGGUAUCUGAUUAUAAUGGAAUACUAUUGUGAUCUAGGAAAUGACAAGCAGGAUGGUUUUAGAAAAACCCAGGAAGAUGUAUACAUGAACUGCUGCAAAGUGAAGUGAGCAGAACCAGAACAUUGUACACAAAGACAGCAGUAUUCUAAGGAUGAUCAACUGAAAGACUUAGCUAUUUUCAGCAAUACAAUGAUCUAAGCAAUUCUGAAAGACUUACAAUGGAAAAUGCUAUCCAAUCCAAGAAAGAAUUGAAUUGAAAACAGAUCAAAGUAUACUAUUUUCCACUUUAUUUUCUUUCUGGUUUUUUUUUUUUUUGGUACAAGUCUUCCAUGACUUGACCAACAUAGAAAUGUUUUGUAUGAUCACACAUGUAAAAUCUAUACCAAAUUGCUUACAGUCUAAGGGAAGGAAAGAAUUUUGAACUCAAAAUUUUAGAAAACUAAUAUUAAAAAUUAUUUUUACAUGUAAUUGGGAAAAAUUUUUGAAAGAUAAAUUUAAAAAAAAAGAAUACUUGCACUACCAAUCACCCAGUGCUGUUAUAUGAAGAGUUUUUCAGACCUUGAAGGGCUAUAGAAAUAUGAGUCAUAAUAAUAACACUCCUUUGAAAUCUGUGAAUAUGGGCAAAGGGGGAAAAGACACAAAAUAGGAAGUAGCAUUUAUAUAAGGUGGUAAAAAUAUGGUACAAGUCCCAGUGCAAGAAAGUUUUUCUGGAAGUUGGCAAGACUCUAAAGCCAGGGGUUCUCACUUCAGGUUGGAUGUUAGGAUGAAAUAAAAUAUUUGUGAGUUUCUAAACAAAGGAGGAGGUUCACUCUGCCCCAACACAGCCAGGAAAUGCAGCAAAGAUAUAGCAGUUCUUAGCUUCUCUGGAUUUGUCUCCAUCUGUAAACUCAUCUGGUCAGGCAGGCAUCAAGGUUUAGCAAUUGAGGUGGUCUUGGGCACCCACCAAGUCUGAGAAGCUAAGACAACAUGAGCUUGGAUGAUGAAGCUGCAUAGAGAAGUGGGGAACAAUCAUGUAGGGGAAGGAAGCUGUGUCAAGGUCAGGAAACCUGGCCCUAUCACAUUGGACCUCUAAGAAGUGAUAGAACAAUAGCUUUUUAGAGCUGGAAGCAAUCUUGGGCAUCACCUAACCAAUCCUUUCAUUUUGCAUAUAGAGAAACUGAGGCUGAAAAUGGUGAGGAGCCUAGCCUGGGGCCAUAUUGGAAUUAACACAGUGAAAGAAGUUAGGAAGGACUGAGCAUAAAUGCAUCAUUUGUUACACUUAUUAUCUGUGUGACCCUCUGCAAGACACCUUCCUUUCCUUCACAAUCCAAUGUUCUUUCCACUAUGCCUCGCUACAGAAAUGAUACCACUCAUUUGGAAGUAGGCCCAGAAAGUUACCCAACUGUGCAUAUUGACUCACCUAAAUGAUCCCAAAGAAUUAUUUUUGUUGUUUUUUUUUAAAGAAAUGUAUUUAACAGAAUUUAUUACCAAGUAUUUCAGUCCCUCCCUGCACCAUAGAAAGUUUUACCUGAACAAAAAAACAUAUAUAGAGAUUAUGUCUUUUGUGUUCCUAUUUUUCAUUCCUUUUUCUGGAGGUGGACAUUCCCAAGCUAGUCUUCAAAUAUUAAUUCUGUAGCUGUACAUAAUGUUCUCUUGGUUCUACUCAUUUCACUUUUCAUUGCUUCAUGUAAAUCUUUCCAAGUUUUAAAAAUUAACCUGUUUAUUGUUUCUUUUUCUAAAUGUUUUUUUUUUCUGGGUUAUGCAUUAUUAUCAUGCAAAACACAUUUCUAAAUUGUUCAUUUUUUGAAAGUGAAUAAUCUUAAAAAACCGAAACCCUCAAACAUAAACCCAAAUAAAUGAGUUAAAUUGCAUGCUUUCAUCUACAUUCUGAUUCCAACAGUUCUUUUCACUCUUUGUCACAAGUCCCUCAGAAAUGUCCGGUGCAUUGUAUUUGCUGAUAGUGUGGCUCAUCAUUUCUUAUGGCUCAGUAAUAAUCCAUCACAACCCCCAAAGAAAUUAAAGGAAGGGGAAAAGGAUCUAGAUGUACAAAAAUAUUUAUAGGAGUCUUUUCAUGGAAAACAAAUAUUGAAACUAAGAGACUCUCCUUUUGGGGAAUAACUAAACAAAUUGUGAUAGAUGAGCGUGAAAGAAUAAUAUUGUGUCAUAAUAAAUGACGAAAUGGACAAUUUCAGAGGAAACCAGAAAGAGACCUCCAUAAACUGAUAUAGACCAAAGUGAGCAGAAAUAGAACAAUGUAUACAAUAACAAUAUAGGGAAAAACAGCUUUGAAAAACUUCAUAAUUUUGAUCAACAAAAUGAUAAAACACAAGUAUAAAAGAAUGAAGGUGCCAUUUACCUCCGGACAGAGAAGUGAUAACUUAAAAGGCAGAAACAUGGCGAAUGUAGGAUUUGUUUUGCUGAAUUGUGUAGCUGUGACAUUCCAUAUCCAUCCUCAAGCUUCUUUACUCAGUGUAUCCUCAUGCCUGGAAAUCUCUCCUUCUUCAUCUCUGUCUGCUGGCUUUGAACUCUAGCUUUGGUCAAGACCCAGCUGAUGUCCUACCUGUACAAAAAACCUUUUCUGAUCUCCCCCAUUGUCUUAACCUCUAUUAAGUACUUUCAAUUUCUCCUGUACAUAUCUUGUUUGUAUGUCAUUUCUUCUAUUAGACUAUGAGCUCCUUGAGGGCAAGCACAGUGCCCAGUAUGUAGUAGGCACUUAAUGACUAUAUAUUAAGUUAUAUUUGUUUUUAAAUUUUAAAAACAAGCUAGAGUUCAAAGCCAGCAGACAGAGAUGAAGAAGGAGAGAUUUCCAGGCAUGAGGUCUUGGGUUCAAAUUUGGCCUCAGACACUUCCUAGCUGUGUGAUCCUGGGCAAGUCACUUAACUCCCAUUGCUUAGCCCUUACCACUCUUCUGCCUUGGAACCAAUACACAAUAUUGAUUCUGAGACAAAAGGUUUAAAAAAAGAAUUGCCCAGUGAGGGGAUAGUGGAAGUGACAGAUUAAUUUUUAAAAUUCUUGUUAAUGGAAAAAAUAAACUAUUUUACAAAGUUAAAAAAGAUAUUGCUCACCAUCUUACCUCAAGCUUUGGACCAAGUAUUCUUUUUUUUUUUCUACAGUGGAAUAAAUAUUGGCUCUAAAAUAUAGGAUCUUGGUUCAAAUCUAGCCUAUGAUGCCUACUAUUUGUAACUUCAGAGGAGUCAUUGAACUUCCUUGGGGCUCAUUUGUCAUGGGUAAAAUAAGGGGUUUGGAGGUCCCUUCUGGCUUUAGAUCUAGUCUGCUCACUUCUCUUGGAUCAUGAUUUCAAUAAAAUUGAGACUAUGAUAACAUUUUUCAAAACAUCCCCCCUAGCCAUGAGGCUGAUUGGAAGUUGUCCUUUUGACCUUUCUUCAGAUCAGAAUUGACUCCAGAUUCAGUUUUUGAAGAGGUUUCCUAGAGUGUCUUAAAGGUUAGAACAAGGGAACCAACAGAGUAAGCUAAGCAACAGACUAGUUCUGAGUAGUGCCUCACUAAGAAGCUCCCAUAAUGUUAUUCUACUGUGCUACCUUUACUUUGAAAUCUACUAAAUCUUCCAUAUUACUCCAUGCAUGGGCAUGACUCUUGGGAUAGUUCCAAGUGGAGCAACUCUGAAAUCAUGCAAUAGAGAACCUUACAGCGAGUGCUAUUGUAAGCCUUGGUCACCAUCUACCCCAGUUAAGUUUCCCUGGGUCUCAAAAUGUCAGAACUAGGUUCAGUUAAUUAGGGAGCUAAGCCUUGGAAUUCCCUAUUAUUCCAAUCAGGACUCUCAAGAUGGGAAUGCUAUUAUUGUUGCUCAGAUUGUCCAAAAUAAACAAAGACUUAGAGGAGACUUCUCCCUCCAGCUUAUACCCAGUGGCUGGGAAAAACAGAGGCACUAGCAAUUGGGAAUCCAGAAUCCAGCAAGAAUUUUCCCAAAUAAUUUUCCCAAUGGUUUUCCAAACGAGCAUUUGUUAAUUAUAUUAUUACAGCAUUUUCUUACUCUAACAGGGCCAACCUCUUAACCCGAUCUUUAAUAGGAGAAUAGUAUACUUUCUUACUUCUUUAUUUAUAAAAUCACAAUUUAUUUUUUGAAUCCUUGCUGUCUUAGUUUAAGUGACUUGCCUAGGGACACACAGCUGAGAAGGAUGUGAGGUUACAUUUGAAUCCAGGUCCUCCAAACUCCAGGCUUGGCACUCUAUCCACUAUAGUACCUAGCUAUCCCUAACAGUAGGCUUUCUUUUGGAAAAUAUCCAAUAUCAGGAAAUAAUUUCAACAUAUACCAAUCAUAUUUACGUAGUCAAUGCUAACUUUUGCUCAUUACCUCCAAUUGAUAUAAAGUUGUUCUAGCAUAUGCUUAACCUAUAGCUACAAAAUACAAAUUAGAUGCAGUUUGUUCAGUGUAGCUUUGGAAAAAGGAGAGCCUGGGUUAGAAGACCAAUUCUGCCAUUUACUAUCAAGAACAAAUCUUAGGCAAAACACUUAACCUGUCUGAGUCUUUGACUCCAAAAUGAAGGGUCUGUACUAAGCUGGCUGCAGAGUUCUUAUAUAGCUUUAAAUCCUCUGGCCCUACUAUGCAAGCAAAAAUUAAUUUUUGAGCAUCUACUUGAGCAACUAACCUAUAUGCUAUAAUUGAAAAGAUAUUAGAUUUGGAAGUCAGAUCUGGGUUCUCCCAUUUUUGCUACUUAUUAGCUUGUAUCCUCAGUCCUUAGCACAGUGCCUGGUAUAAAGUAGGUGCUUAAUAAACAUUUGUUAAUUGACAUAACUAUUUCAACUUUCUUAGCCACAGUUUUCUCAUCUGUAAAACAGGAAUGUCAAAAAUCUUUUUUCCCUCUAUCAUCUAGUAAUUGUGAAUAUCAAAUGGGAUCAUAUUUUUGAAAGGUCCUCACAUAGUACAUUAUUAAGUCCUUAACAAAUAUUUGUUGAAGAAUUGAAAAUGCUUUCAAAACUUCAAAACAAGAGCCAUUCCCCAGUUGAUAAAAGGUCAAAAGAUAUGAACAGUUUUCAGAAGUUGAAAUCAAAAUACUCACAUUAAAAAAUGUUCUAAAUCACUACUAAUUAGGGAAAUGCAAAUUAAAAUAACUGAGGUACCAUCUCACAUCUAUCAAAUUGGCUAAUAUAACAGAAAAGAAAAGCAACAAAUGCUAGAGAGGAGAUUAAAAAAAAAACUGGGACAUUAAUCCUCUGUUAGUGGUAAUCUGCCCUCGUCCAACCAUUCUGAAAAACAUCUUGGAAUUACAAACAAAAACCUAUAAAACUGUGCAUACCCUUUGACCCAGCAAUACCACUACUAGGUCUAUAUCCUAAAGACUUGGUUUUUUUUUUUCCUAAAGAGAUUUUUACAAGAUGAGGGGACCUAUUUGUAGAAAAAUAUUUAUAGUAUUUUUUCGUGGUGUCAAAGACUUGAAAAUCAAAGGGAUGCCCAUCAAUUAAGGAAUGGCUGAAUAAGUUCUGGUAUAUGAUUGUGAUGGAAUACUAUUGUACUCUAAGAAAUAACAAGCUGGAUGAUUUCAGAAAAACCUGGGAAGACUUAUAUGAACUGUUACAAAGUGAAGUGAGCAGAACAAGAGAACAUCAUACAUAGUAACAGCAAUAUUCUUAGGAAUACCAAUUGUGAGAGAAAGGAUUAGCUAAUUCUGAUUGAGACAAGAAACAAGAUUACCAAGGACUCAUGAUGAAAAAUGCUGUCUACCUCCAGAGAAAGAACUGAUAAGUCUGAAAUGCAUCAUACUUAUUUUAAAACGUAUUUAUUGUUUUAUUGUUUUCUUUUGCAACAUGGCUAAUAUGGAAAUGUUUGACUUGAUCUCACAUGUAUAAUAAAAAUCAAAGUGCUUGCCUUUUCAAGGAGAAGGGAGAGAAGGGUGGGAACUCAAAAUUUUAAAAAAUGAUUAUUAAUUUUUUACAGGUAGUUGGGAAAUUUUUAAUGAUACAAAUAAAAGUGUUUUUUUUAAUAUGGUACUUAUCCUCAAAGAGCUUACAAUAGAAUUAAGAGACAAGAUUUUCAUAUCUGAGACCAUAAAAGUAUGUGUUAUAUUCUGGAAUGUAUUAGGAAUUUGAAGACAGGAAAGGUGAAUGGAGUAAGACUAAAUAGUGGGGAAGGAGGGCCAUGAACAGAUGGGGUAGAUUUGUGCCCUAAAUAGGAAUAUUAACACCUGAGACAAUUUCUGUCUCAGGAACCAUAUGGAAACAUAUGGAAACAGGUUCCAAAUUAUGAAAAGCAAUAGUGAUACAACUUAAAGCAACUGAGAUUUCACCUCACACCACAUUAGUUGGCAAAGGCUGACAAAUGAUGGAGACAGUGUUUGGAGGAGUUGUGGCAAAACUACUCUAAUUCACUGUUGCUGGCAAAACUACUCUAAUUCACUGUUGCUGGAACUGAGAAGUGGCCCAACCUUUCUGGAUAUCAAUUUGUAAUUAUGCAAGAAAUGCAUCCUAAAGGACCCAGAGAUCCCACUAGUGGUCAUAUAGUCCAAGGAAGUAAAAACAAACAAACAAAAAAGGUACAGGAUGGACCAGCUGUGUUAGCAAGGAACCAAAAGCAAAGAAAGGGCCCACUAAUUGGGGAACAGAUGAAAAAAUAAUGGUGCACAAGUAUAGUGGACAUUGUUGUACAGUAAGAAAUGACAAAGGCGAAGAGCUCAGAGAAACAUAAGGAAGUCAUGAAUUAUAUGAACUGAUACAGAGGAAAAUAGGUAGAAACAAAUAUAAAAGAUAGUGACUACAAUGAUAUAAAUGAAUUAAAGAUCAUAAAAAAGAACUGAAAAACCAGUGAUGUCCUAGAAGAUAACAUGAAACAUACUUCUGCAUCAAAGAACCACCAAAGGGCUGGGAACAACUAGGAUAGAAUUGUUAUACAUUAUUGUCAGAUAAUAGUCACUGUAUCAAUACUUUAUGUUUAAUUAUUUUGCUUUCUUACAAAGGAAAGUUCAAUAAGGUUGGGCUGCAAUGACCACAAUAUAAAGAAAAAAGGCAUCAAUAAAACUUUUUAAAAA